rnacentral:rRNA from 1 species
UACGUAGGCAGCGAGCGUUGUUCGGAGUUACUGGGCGUAAAGAGUGCGUAGGCGGUUUUCUAAGUUUGGUGUGAAAUCUCCCGGCUUAACUGGGAGGGUGCGGCGGAAACUGGAAUGCUAGAGGAUGGGAGAGGUAAGCGGAAUUCCUGGUGUAGCGGUGAAAUGCGUAGAUAUCAGGAGGAACACCUGUGGUGUAGACAGCUUACUGGACCAUUUCUGACGCUGAGACACGAAAGCGUGGGUAGCAAACAGG